GCCUGCGCGGAAGAUGUAACGGGGCUAAACCAUGCACCGAAGCUGCGGCAGCGACACUAUGUGUUGUUGGGUAGGGGAGCGUUCUGUAAGCCUGCGAAGGUGACCUGUGAGGGUUGCUGGAGGUAUCAGAAGUGCGAAUGCUGACAUAAGUAACGAUAAAGCGGGUGAAAAGCCCGCUCGCCGGAAGACCAAGGGUUCCUGUCCAACGUUAAUCGGGGCAGGGUGAGUCGACCCCUAAGGCGAGGCCGAAAGGCGUAGUCGAUGGGAAACAGGUUAAUAUUCCUGUACUUGGUGUUACUGCGAAGGGGGGACGGAGAAGGCUAUGUUAGCCGGGCGACGGUUGUCCCGGUUUAAGCAUGUAGGCUGGUUGUCCAGGCAAAUCCGGAUAAUCAAGGCUGAGGUGUGAUGACGAGGCACUACGGUGCUGAAGUAACAAAUGCCCUGCUUCCAGGAAAAGCCUCUAAGCAUCAGGUAACAUCAAAUCGUACCCCAAACCGACACAGGUGGUCAGGUAGAGAAUACCAAGGCGCUUGA
rnacentral:rRNA from 1 species